UCUCCGUUGGUGAACCAGCGGAGGGAUCAUUAAAGAGUUGCAAAACUCCCUUCAUAACCAUCGCGAACGCUACCCGAUUCUCGUUGCUUCGGCGGGGGUCCCCUUUCCAAAACGGGGUCCCCCGCCGGAGGUCUUAAACCCUGAAUUCUAGUGUAUCUCUGAGGAUGAAAAAAAACCAAUUAAAACUUUCAACAACGGAUCUCUUGGCUCUG
rnacentral:misc_RNA from 1 species